UCAAACCUCCGCUGCCUUAUGCUAUACCCACACAUGAGAAAUCUUCAGGAGUGAAUCCUGAGGAAAAAUAUGGAGAUGGAUUCCCUCAGGCAAUCCUACAUUGAGUUCAACCCUGACUGACAACUCCUGUGAUGCCACUGGUGCCAACUGCUGUUCUUUUGGAUUUAUCAGGAGUCUUUGGUGGAGUACUGCACAGAUGCUGUAGAAACGUUUCCACGCAAGUCUGGCGAAGAGCUUUAAAAACCCAAUCUCCAGAAAAGAGGGGUACCGCCUAGUGGAGUGGUCAUCGUGAAAGUGGUCUGAGUCAGAGUGGUAAGGCUUUGGCUCAACAGGGCUUCGGCGAGAACAGGCAAAGGGAGUGUGAAGUGCAGAAUCAAAUAUCGCUGUGAUGAUUGUACGCUCUAGCAUCAAUAGUUUGGCGACAAUAAAGUAUAAAGACACGUGGGACUUACUUGUUGGACAACAUUGAUGAGUUGGGCCAAAGGACCUGUUUCCAUACUGUGUGACAGUGACUCUAUAAGUUCUGAUCAAAGUGGUAGCAGAGUGUGCCAUCCAUAAAAGGAUUCAGCAUCACUUUCCAGGGCUAUCCUGAUAACAGCUUCCAACCAGUAACCUAAGCCUCCGUGAAGAACCAGGAACAGGAACAGAUGAAUGGAGGAUAACACCAACCGGUCUCUGAAAAUCUAGGUAACAUAUCUGCUGGAGCAACUGGAAAGUCCUUAGCAUUGUCAGAGACCACAUCCAUCCGUCCAGCAAUCUCUUUGACCCUCUAUCAUCAGGCAAGAGGUACCAUAGCAUUAGGACAAGACUGUUAGGAUGCCAAACAGCUUCUUCUACAAGAACACUAGUAGUAACAGACUACUAGUUUUCUUCAGUAAGGCUACUGAACUCCCUGACACCAUCCAGGUCUCAUCACACAUGAAUCGCUAGUCAUGUUAUACUUAUUAACUUGUGUUGUAAAUGCAUCUUAUUACUUGUUAAUUUACUAGUGGUAGUACUACUUUAUGUGUUAUGUGUGUGAGUUAUACAUACUAUGUUGUGCACCUUGGUCCAGAGGAACGUUGUUUCAUUUGAUGGUAUACAUGUGUACGGUUGAAUGACAAUAAACUGAACUUGAACUUGAAAUUGAAGAUUACACAGAUUUGACUUUCAAGAUAGCAGGCAAUUUAUUAAAAACUGGUGCCCACCAGGAGACCAGUCAGAACCGGUCUACCUGAGCAUGAACUUGGCAGAACCUUUACAUUCUCAUUUGAUGGGAUUAUCAGUAAAACUACAUUUUGAUAACAAAAUGGUGUCUACAGGAAGACUUAAUUAAGUAACAGACUACGUCCUGAUUACAGAAUAAAAUGAUUACCCACACAUCGAACAGAAAAUUGUGGGCCGAAGGGCCUGUAUUGUGCUGUAGGUUUUUAAAAUCUAACUUUCUAUUAUAGCAAUGUGUGCACAUAUAAUAGAGUAAGUGAAGUUCCUGAAACUUAGGUCUCAUUGCUGCUGCAUUCCAUUUCUCUACAUCUAGGGUUUACAUAAGAACAUAGGAAAUAAAAUAGGAGCAGGAGUAGACCAUCUGGCCUGUAGAGCCUGCUCUGCCAUUCAAUAAGAUCAUGGCUGAUCUGGCCAUGGACUCAUCUCCACCUACCUGUCUUUUUCCCAUAACCUUAAUUCUCCUAC